ensembl:misc_RNA 7SK 7SK RNA
CCUCUGAAACCUGCUUGUUCGGUUGAAGAGGACAACCAUCCCUGAUAGAGGAGGACAGGUCUUCGGUCAAGAGUAUACAGGUAGCUGUGCUCCCCCUCUGGAACCUCCAAACAAGCUCUCAUCACUGGCAGGGACAGUUACC